rnacentral:rRNA from 1 species
AGAGUUUGAUCAUGGCUCAGAACGAACGCUGGCGGCGUGGAUAAGACAUGCAAGUCGAACGCUGAUUAGAGGGUAGCAAUAUUCUUUAGUCGGAGUGGCGCAAGGGUGCGUAACACGUGGGUAAUCUGCCAUGAAGACAGGGAUAACUCGCUGAAAGGCGAGCUAAUACCGGAUGAGACUGUCAGGAGGCAUCUUUUGACAUUGGAAGCUGGGGACCCGCAAGGGCCUGGCGCUUCAUGAUGAGCCCGCGGCCUAUCAGCUAGUUGGUGAGGUAACGGCUCACCAAGGCAAAGACGGGUAGCUGGUCUGAGAGGACGACCAGCCACACUGGAACUGAGACACGGUCCAGACACCUACGGGUGGCAGCAGUCGAGAAUUUUUCACAAUGGGCGCAAGCCUGAUGGAGCGACGCCGCGUGGGGGAUGAAGGGUUUCGAUCCGUAAACCCCUGUCAUUUGCGAACAAACCUUAUGGGAUAACACCCCAUGAGCUGAUUGUAGUGAAAGAGGAAGGGACGGCUAACUCUGUGCCAGCAGCCGCGGUAAUACAGAGGUCCCAAGCGUUGUUCGGAUUCACUGGGCGUAAAGGGUGCGUAGGUGGCCAGGUAAGUUCGGUGUGAAAGCUCGGAGCUCAACUCCGAAAAGUCAUUGAAUACUAUCUGGCUGGAGGGUCGGAGGGGAGACUGGAAUUCUCGGUGUAGCAGUGAAAUGCGUAGAUAUCGAGAGGAACACCAGUGGCGAAGGCGAGUCUCUGGACGACACCUGACACUGAGGCACGAAAGCCAGGGGAGCAAACAGGAUUAGAUACCCUAGUAGUCC